GCCGAAGUGGUGGAAUUGGUAGACACGCUGUCUUGAGGGGGCAGUGCCUGUAUGGGCGUACGAGUUCGAGUCUCGUCUUCGGCACCA
rnacentral:tRNA from 5 species